GCAUAAAAAUGAAAAAAUAAAUGUACACUAUAAUUGGUAUAUUCAGUAUGAAGUAGUACAUACAUGCUUCACAUUUGUUAAAACAAAAUUUAAUGAAUUGGUUCCCGAUUUUAAAUUUCAGGAUUUUCCGAAAGCGCGUUUACAGAGGAAAUUUAGUUUUGCCUACAGCGAAAAUGGAAGUCCACAGUCAAGAAUUGGGCAUUCUUACUGUACACUGCUACCACAAUCAAAAUUGUCUCUGAAAGGUGUUUUAGACGACUCAAUCUGAGGCAGACGAAAGCGUCAACGAAUCUUCGUAUUUCUCUGUGACUGGACAGCGCUUACAUGCAAUCAAACUUUCCAUACACAACAUUAUGUAUUUCAGUUUCUGUCUACGGGAAAUUUUGCGCUGUCAGGCGAGAAAUUGCCGGCCCUAUUUGAGCUAGGUUUACAACAGUAUUGCUGCAUGAACAUUCUACUGUACCUCUUUUAUUGAAACCAGGCUUUCAAAGAAUUUACAUGUCGUACUAUUGAUCGAGUUCUACGUAUUCAAAGUAUUUCAAUAUGUUCCAUUCCCGUUGUCCCUUGAACAUCACUGACAUUAAAACUAAAGUUAUUGAAUUGAAAA